UAGUAAUACCCCAUGGGUCUACUGACAUAUCCACCUCGCACUUGAGUGGUGGUCACGCGAUGUAAAAUCACGUCAAGCGAAACUAACGGGAACGUCUCCCGGGUACAUUGUACAAUUAAAGAGAAACCAAAACGCACCGUACAUUUUCUAUGCAGAAAGAGGGAGACCUUUACUUGUUUGUGUUGGGAUGAGAUGUCCAUUGAUUGGCUAAGGGCCAACUACAUUGGUGGAGGUGAAUUAUGGGCCGUUGAAAGAAACAAUUGCGCAAAAUUGUCGUGAAAGAGGUGGAUAUGAUAUGAAAAUUGUACCUGCACAACUCAAAACCCCCAUUCGAUAAGUCAUGAUCAUGGUGGCGUUCCCUUUUCCUAUUCUUAUCUUGUCAUGGUCUCUUUAGUGCGGUACUGAGUCACUGAGUGGUAGCUAUACUUAAAACCACUCCUUGCUCGCGCUCCCAUGGAAGGUCUAUAAGAACUUUCUCCAGCUUUUCUGUCACUGAUUUAUUUCUAUCAUUGUUAUCAUUGGUUGACAACGAGAGAGAGCACGCUUGUCAGCAUUCAUGGGGAGGACAUGGUUGUAUACAAGCGUGCUCUCUCUCGUUGUCAUACGAUGUGCUCAAGGCAAGGUUUUUCUCUUCUACUGUGUUUAUGUUUCCCAGAAGGUGGUUCUGACCCCAUACAGCAGCUGGACUUUGGAGUGUGCUGAGAACAAUGUCAUUUAAAAGUGUGCCUAUAUCUUGAUCCACUGUAAAGUAUUCACAUUCAUUCCCUUUCUUUUGGUGGGUGUGAUUUUGUACUAGAAGUUUUUGAGUCAUCAUUUCGUUCUAGGACUACUGCAGAUGGAUAUUCUAUUAUCACAGAAUGUCAUUGAACUUUUUUUCUCAAACAUUCUCUUUGCCGAGAUGAUAAUUAGUUGCUCAAUAUGUUUUUGACCAUUACCCUUUCGAUGAUGCAUUAUGACUUAUGAGUGCGUAGAAAUGGCACCAGAAUUAAAGUAGUAGACUAGUAGGCAGUAGCUUUGGCUUAUUGUUAAUGAUAUGCUAACCUCCCAUGCAUGAUAUAUUGGGAAUGAAUUUUCUUGAAGGUUUCUUUGUUGUUCAUCUUAGCAUGGUAUUACCUUUUUUUAAAAAAAAUUAUCAGGAAACUUAUAGCAAAAGGCACCAAUGUGGUGUACCUGGUAAUUACAAGCCUGGACUUGAGGGUGAAUCUAAUGCUUAAAGAAUCAAAAUUAUGAAUGGAACAAGGAUUUGGAUUUUUUUGUCAAUGUCAUGAUAUCCUUGCCAAAGAAGAUUCUAAACCCUCAAAGCCUAACUUGUCAUUUUUUCUUGCCAAAUCUCCCACCAAGUGUGUGAUGACAUAAUUGCUGUUAAAAUUUCUUCUCUCCUUGUUGUUGUGAAGAAAACUCCAACGUUAAACUUCUUUAGAAAGUUUUUAUAGCAUUGAAGAAAUAUGACUUCCAAAGAAUUACCAAAAAUAAAGUUCUCCUUUCAUUCUUUCCAAAUAAUUCUCUCUCUAAGUUUUUUCCUGUAUGAGGUAGGUUCACCCAUAAUGCAAUGUGCAGUGAGAUAAUAUGCACAUUCCCCAAUUUCCCUACUCUAUUUCCAUGUAUCUUUCCAAAACUUGCACUUCUCACAAUUUCCAUCCUCUAAGGAUGUGAAAGAAAAACCAAUGUUUCCAUUGUUUCGUUUCUACAUACAAACCCCAAAACCAAGGAUUGCCCUCCUUAAAAUGCUGGUGUAACCAUUAUGAUCAAAACAAGCGCAAAGAUAACGUUUAUCCAAGGCGAUCUAAUUAAUACUUUGUCAAAAUGAGGUUUGAGACGAAGUGUAACCUCCCAAUUCUUGGGAAGAAUAUCCUUUUCCAUAUGAAGAAGAUAUUAUUUCAUCUCUCUAUUGUUGUUUCCCCAAAGAAAGUUCUUUCAAAUUGUCUCUAACCUCAAAGCCUUUGAACAAGUGCUUUGAAAAAUUGUUAGUUCCCUCUUUGGAGAUUAGCUUCUCUUUCACCUAGUUGGCUUUUUUUCAAACUUUUCUAAAAGGAAAUUCCUAUGGAAUUUAUAUAUUAUAUACAGCACCUGAUGAGAUUAUGAGAGUCUAUAAAAUGUUGGAUGGGAAUAGUGAAGAUCUGGCAACCUAUACAUCUUAUGUACCAAAGUAAUGAGUCUAAGUGCUUGAUGUAGCUUUAUGAACCUAAGAAGUUUUCCCAUGGUAAAAUGUUUAUAUCGAUUUAUCAGCACAAAGCCACACACCCCCAAGAUGUUCGGGUAAAUUUGCUUCUACAUACCUUACUUCUUGUGUUUGGAUUCUUUAAUGAAGCGAUAUGCUAGACUAUUUGAGUUAGCAAAAGUUGAAUAUGCCUUCAUAAAUGGAACUCUUGAAGUGGCCAAGGGGUCGACUCAUUCAUACGUUUCAUACUAGGGUCAUUGAUUGCCAAUAAAGGGUUCAAUAUAUUUCUUUUGAGGAGCUCGUGGUCUAGUGGUAGCUUGCCUUUUCAUCACUUGCAUGAGGUGCAACCUUUGAUUCCUUCCCAUACUAUGGCAAGCUACAGUGAGUGCGCAUGUGUGCUGGCCCACGGACUUGUGUUUGUGUUGGUGGGGUUUCAGUCCUGUAUAAAGAACGAGUUUGCUUGUUACACCAGUUGGUAAAGGAUUUUUCUUUUAUGAAAUUGGUAUCUGGAAGUUAUGUUUAUGAUUCCAAGCAGAACUAGGUCAUAGUCACUGCAUGAAAAUCUUGGGAUUUGAUAAGAAUGAGAAUUGGAUUUUACUUUUUCUGACUGGCAAGACUGAUUUUUUUCUUAUUUUCUUUGUUUUAAAUAUAUUCAGUUUGUUUGCUUCAAUGUUGUGUAAUUUUAGAUGAUUUUUUUUCAAGGAGUUAUAAGAAGGAAAUUCACUCUACAUCUGAAUUUGUUGGUUUUUGAUGUCUUUUAUCCUUGCUAUUACAGUUUGUGAUUGAGGCUAUUCUCAUUAGCACGUCCUUUUGGUGGGAUCAAUGGUAUGAUUGGCCUUGUACAUCCAGUAAUAUUAUUAGCAUUCAGAAUGGGGAAUGGGGUCUGGUGCUCUCAUGUUUUUCUUUCGUUGGCUAAUCUGCUAUGUUCUGUUCUCUCACUUUUUUUUUUCCUUCUCUUUUGCUGCUCAUUUUCUUCCAUACUUUAUUCCUAGAAACCCUAGUUUGGGCCACAUAACUAGAUUUUGUCUUUGCGUAUUAUUGUUCCAAAUAUUUCAUUAUAACAAAAAAAUUGAUCAUGUUAUUUUGGGGCCUUCACACUUGGAUAAACUUUUGUGCUUUUUUUUUUUUUUUCCCGUCACGUGUUUCCUUGAAUCAAAAUAACACACUUUGUUCCGCUUUGAUUCUCUUCGUGCUGCUUUUUUUUUUUUUUUUUUCAUUUUGAAAGUUGUUUGUUGUAUGCCAUUAUUCUUACCUAUUUGUGUGCUACAUUGAAGGAUAAUAUGGACAUAUUUGAUAAUAUGCAUUUUAAAUAAUCUUAGAAAGAUUAAACUAUAUUUGGCCAGGAUUUAUUUGGAAAAAUACAAUGGAGGCAUCUUCUCGUUUAACAACUUCUUUUUUUUCCCAUUUUCCGGCUAAGCGCUUGGUAUUUUUUGUAAUAUUCAAGUCUCCGCUCCCCCCAAAAGCUUUCCUACAAAAGAGAGAAUGUUUUUGUUGUGACAACCAUCUCAAAAGGUUACAAAUUUUAAUGAGGAAGUUUCCUUUGGACAAAAAUGUACAAGAUCUAGGAUUUGGGGCAUAAUUUAUACUUGGGUAUCUAUAUAUGAUAGGUCUUGCAUAAUUUUAUUUUUGUUGUAGAAGAAAGAGAGACAGGCAAUUGUGGCGUAGUUAGCAUUUCCAUUCAGGUGAGUACUGUUUCUUUAUUUUUUAUAAGGAGUUAUUUUUGGUACUGUUCAUAUUAUACCAUGUGGCCAACAAGUUUAAGGCCUGCUUAGGGUGGGGAUUUAAUAUUUAGAUUUCUAUAAAACACUUGCACAUCUUUUAGUCAAAUGGAAUUUGUGAAAGCAAAUUAUUAAGAAUUAAUCUUCCUCGUUUUGUUUUGAGGUACUUUAGCCUAGGGUUUCUAUCGUUUUCUUUAGCUUUCCUUUUCAGUAAAAUUUUUCAUUGAACAAUUCUUCUUAAUUCGUAUUUUUCCUUUGUGGGAUCCUUUAAUUCCUUGUUUUUCAAUCUGAUAGGUUUCACUAACUGAUUAAUGACACAUUUUGUAUCUCCCACUAACUCUAUUGAUUGCACCUCAAACCCUAAUAAGUAAUAACUAAUUAAAAUUUGUCGUAUUACCAGGUGAUUUAGACAGUAAUUGCUAUAUCUCAUGUGGCUCUUGCCGAGGAAGAUUUAGCAAGAGAAUAAUUUUCUACAAUAUAUACUGAAUUAAAUACUUGUGCUUAGUUGGCGUGUUCUGAGUCGUCUGACAAAUAUCAUGAUGGUCCAAGGAGAUAUUCUUUGCAGUCUCAGUCUGGAUUGAUUUUUUGAAGCUGGCUUCUUUGGUAUGUUGCUUCAAAACUCAGUGGUGACUUUUUGAAUCCAUUUGCGUGAGAAUUUUCAGAGAAUUGAUUUGCUAAUUAAUACUGUGCCUGUUGCUGUUGUUGGAUGCACCUCUGGUCUUAUCAGACGGUGCCACAUUAAUUUAUUGAAGCACGGGGAAUAAAUGUCUCUGGUGGCACCUUUUGUUUUUUUACAAUGGCAGAUACUUUAUGUUGUGGGGAGUAUUAAAUGAACUUGGAUUUUCAACUUGGUCUAUUCUGCAUGUGAUUAGGAUUUAUAUGCUCAAAGGUUAGAGUAUUAAUCGGUGCCGAGAGCCCCUUCAGUAGUGUGCUGACAUUGGAAUCAUGCUAUGUAUUAUGUUCGCAUUUGGCGAAAGGUGAUGCAACUGAAGAGGCUAUAUUACAUUAUUAUGCCAGCAUUUCAAUUUUCUGGCUGAAAGUGCUCCUGACUUGAAGUUUGUAACAAGCUUUGCAUUGUUCCUGUUCUUGGCUCAAGUCACGGAAAAUACAGUCUGGGUGGUUUUUUUCUUUACCAUUAGUAUGUGGUCCACUUCACUCCAAUUCAGUUGUAUGAUUGUGUUUCACUUGAGAUUGGAAUUGUAUGCUCAAUUAACACCGGACUUGCAAAACUUUAGCUGACCAUAUGUUGGUCGUUUGUGUCAUGCCGCAUGACAAGCGGUGGUUUGUGACGAAACCUAGAUUGUUUUGAAGUGGUCUGCUUUUCCCGGUUGGUUUGUUCCUCUUUUGGUUUGAGGCAAAUUUUGUGAUGGACUACGGAGGAUAGACAGACAGACAA